rnacentral:rRNA from 1 species
UUGGAGGGCAAGUCUGGUGCCAGCAGCCGCGGUAAUUCCAGCUCCAAUAGCGUAUAUUAAAGUUGUUGCAGUUAAAAAGCUCGUAGUUGAAUUUCGGGGUUAGUAGGUUGGUCAUGCCUCUGGUAUGUACUGGUCUCACUGAUUCCUCCUUCCUGAUGAGCCGUAAUGCCAUUAAUUUGGUGUUGCGGGGAAUUUGGACUGUUACUUUGAAAAAAUUAGAGUGUUUAAAGCAAGCUAACGCUUGAAUACAUUAGCAUGGAAUAAUGAAAUAGGACGUUCGAUCCUAUUUUGUUGGUUUCUAGGAUUGACGUAAUGAUUAAUAGGGAUAGUUGGGGGCAUUAGUAUUCAAUUGUCAGAGGUGAAAUUCUUGGAUUUAUUGAAGACUAACUACUGCGAAAGCAUUUGCCAAGGAUGUUUUCAUUAAUCAAGAACGAAAGUUAGGGGAUCGAAGACGAUCAGAUACCGUCGUAGCCUUAACCAUAAACUAUGCCGACUAGGGAUCGGAUGAUGUUAAUUUUUUAAUGACUCAUUCGGCGCCUUACGGGAAAC